GAGGGUAUAGCUCAAAUGGUAGAGUGCAUGCUUAGCAAGCAUGAGGUCCUGGGUUCAAUCCCCAGUACCUCCU
rnacentral:tRNA from 1 species